GGAAGGCUUGGUUACGUUUCUCCAGCCCUGCAGUUCCCAGAGAUGGUCCAAGUUGUCCCUCCUGCUGCGUUGCCCUGACUUGGAACAGGUUCCUUGCCUCACCAGCAGGUCCUUGUAGGAUUUCAGCUCUGGGCUGUGUGUCUGGGGCUGAGCCAGGUGCCCCCUGCUCCGUGCUGGGUCCCAUGAGACGGGCGGGACCCCCCUGUCCCUCGUGCCCGGGGCCGCAGCGCCCGGCUCUGCCCCCGCUGCUCGGGACCCCCUGCCAGCCCCCACAGAGGAGCUGCACGGAGCUGCUGCCACGUGCAUGAGUGGAAAGCAGAGGAGAGGCCAAAGCCCAGUGCACACCUGGCAUCUGAUCCCCCAGCAUCCUGCCUUCAUCUGACCCAGGUAGGUGCACCUGAGCUCGGAGCACUGCUGCAUGUG
rnacentral:lncRNA from 1 species